rnacentral:siRNA from 1 species
AGCAAGCUUAACCGUGGAGUUCU